CUCCUGGUAGCUUAGUUGGUUUAAAGCACAAGACUGUAAUUUACUAUACCAGAUUUUGUAAUCUUGGGAUCGGGCGUUCGACUCGCCCCCGGGAGA
rnacentral:tRNA from 2 species